AACGAACGCUGGCGGCAUGCCUAACACAUGCAAGUCGAACGAGACCUUCGGGUCUAGUGGCGCACGGGUGCGUAACGCGUGGGAACCUGCCCUUAGGUUCGGAAUAACUCCCCGAAAGGGGUGCUAAUACCGGAUAAUGUCUUCGGACCAAAGAUUUAUCGCCUUUGGAUGGGCCCGCGUUGGUUUAGCUAGUUGGUAGGGUAAAAGCCUACCAAGGCGACGAUCCAUAGCUGGUCUGAGAGGAUGAUCAGCCACACUGGGACUGAGACACGGCCCAGACUGGUACGGGAGGGAGCAGUGGGGAAUAUUAGGGAAGGGGCGAUAGCCUGAUCCAGCAGUGUCGCGUGAGUGAUGCAGGCGUUAGGGUUGUACAGCUCUUUUACCCGGGAUGAUAGUGACAGUACCGGGAGAAUAAGCACCGGCUAACUCCGUG
rnacentral:rRNA from 1 species